ACUCCCCCGGCCCCGGCAGACCUGCGACUGGCCCAGUCGCCCGCUGGGGCCCUUUGCCACUCCCUUGGGAAGGAGAGCCGAGACCUCAGUUCCCGACGGCUCUUGCGGGGCACAGAUGGGCAGCAGGAGGCUCCGGAGGUGGCGCCCAGGCUCUGAGCUACCCUAGGACUGCAGACUAGCGGGCAUUGGCCAGAGACAUGGCCCAGCCACUGGCCUUCAUCCUCGAUGUCCCUGAGACCCCAGGGGACCAGGGCCAGGACCUCAGCCCCUAUGAUGAAAGCGAAGUGCACGACUCCUUCCAGCAGCUCAUCCAGGAGCAGAGCCAGUGCACGGCCCAGGAGGGGCUGGAGCUGCAGCAGAGAGAGCGAGAGGUGACAGGAAGUAGCCAGCAGACACUCUGGCGGCCCGAGGGCACCCAGAGCACGGCCACACUGCGCAUCCUGGCCAGCAUGCCCAGCCGCACCAUUGGUGAGUGGGACCCUCAGCCUCGGCCUCGGCCCCGGCUCCGAGUUGACCCCAGUCCCUGGGGCUGGGCUGGGCUUCCCGCCAGGCAUCUCCCUGAGUAGUGGCUGCUCCCGUAGCUCAGAGCCAGGCCCAGGGCGGGCUCCUAGCCCAUCCCAUCUGCUGCCCGGGGGCCCAGCACAGCCCCAUGUGGCCCUCGCUGGGCUCCAAAAAUGACUCCAGAGUCAUCACGGGGUAAAAAUAGGCUUUUGGAAUGCAGUGGUGCCUGAAGUCUUUGUUGAAAGGAUUUUCCUGGGUCCUGGGAAGGGGUGAGGGAUGCAGAGACCUGUGGUGAGCCCAUCCUGAGGGGAGGGAGGCCUGGCCCUGCCCGGCCCGGCCCUGCCCAGCUGCCUCCAUAGGCCGCAGCCGAGGUGCCAUCAUCUCCCAGUACUACAACCGCACGGUGCAGCUUCGGCGCAGGAGCAGCCGGCCCCUGCUCGGGAACUUUGUCCACUCCGCCCGGCCCAGCCUCCGCCUGUACGACCUGGAGCUGGACCCCACGGCCCGGGAGGAGGAGGAGAAGCAGAGCCUCCUGGUGAAGGAGCUCCAGAGCCUGGCAGUGGCACAGCGGGACCACAUGCUUCGAGGGAUGCCCUUAAGCCUGGCUGAGAAACGCAGCCUGCGAGAGAAGAGCAGGACCCCGAGGGGGAAGUGGAGGGGCCAGCCGGGCAGCGGCGGGGUCUGCUCCUGCUGUGGCCGGCUCAGAUAUGCCUGCGUGCUGGCCUUGCACAGCCUGGGCCUGGUGCUGCUCUCCGCCCUGCAGGCCCUGAUGCCGUGGCGCUACGCCCUGAAGCGCAUCGGGGGCCAGUUCGGCUCCAGCGUGCUCUCCUACUUCCUCUUUCUCAAGACCCUGCUGGCUUUCAAUGCCCUCCUGCUGCUGCUGCUGGUGGCCUUCAUCAUGGGCCCUCAGGUCGCCUUCCCACCCGCCCUGCCGGGCCCUGCCCCCGUCUGCACAGGCCUGGAGCUCCUCACAGGCGCGGGUUGCUUCACCCACACCGUCAUGUACUACGGCCACUACAGUAACGCCACGCUGAACCAGCCGUGUGGCAGCCCCCUGGAUGGCAGCCAGUGCACACCCAGGGUGGGUGGCCUGCCCUACAACAUGCCCCUGGCCUACCUCUCCACUGUGGGCGUGAGCUUCUUUAUCACCUGCAUCACCCUGGUGUACAGCAUGGCUCACUCUUUCGGGGAGAGCUACCGGGUGGGCAGCACCUCUGGCAUCCACGCCAUCACCGUCUUCUGCUCCUGGGACUACAAGGUGACGCAGAAGCGGGCCUCCCGCCUCCAGCAGGACAAUAUUCGCACCCGGCUGAAGGAGCUGCUGGCCGAGUGGCAGCUGCGGCACAGCCCCAGGAGCGUGUGCGGGAGGCUGCGGCAGGCGGCUGUGCUGGGGCUUGUGUGGCUGCUGUGUCUGGGGACCGCGCUGGGCUGCGCCGUGGCCGUCCACGUCUUCUCGGAGUUCAUGAUCCAGAGUCCAGAGGCUGUUGGCCAGGAGGCUGCGCUGCUGGUCCUGCCCCUGGUGGUUGGCCUCCUCAACCUGGGGGCCCCCUACCUGUGCCGUGUCCUGGCCGCCCUGGAGCCGCAUGACUCCCCGGUACUGGAGGUGUACGUGGCCAUCUGCAGGAACCUCAUCCUCAAGCUGGCCAUCCUGGGGACACUGUGCUACCACUGGCUGGGCCGCAGGGUGGGCGUCCUGCAGGGCCAGUGCUGGGAGGAUUUUGUGGGCCAGGAGCUGUACCGGUUCCUGGUGAUGGACUUCGUCCUCAUGUUGCUGGACACGCUUUUUGGGGAACUGGUGUGGAGGAUUAUCUCCGAGAAGAAGCUGAAGAGGAGGCGGAAGCCGGAGUUUGACAUUGCCCGGAAUGUCCUGGAGCUGAUUUAUGGGCAGACUCUGACCUGGCUGGGGGUGCUCUUCUCGCCCCUCCUCCCCGCCGUGCAGAUCAUCAAGCUGCUGCUCGUCUUCUAUGUCAAGAAGACCAGCCUUCUGGCCAACUGCCAGGCGCCGCGCCGGCCCUGGCUGGCCUCACACAUGAGCACCGUCUUCCUCACGCUGCUCUGCUUCCCCGCCUUCCUGGGCGCCGCUGUCUUCCUCUGCUACGCCGUCUGGCAGGUGAAGCCCUCGAGCACCUGCGGCCCCUUCCGGACCCUGGACACCAUGUACGAGGCCGGCAGGGUGUGGGUGCGCCACCUGGAGGCGGCAGGCCCCAGGGUCUCCUGGCUGCCCUGGGUGCACCGGUACCUGGGGGAAAACACCUUCUUUGUCUUCCUGGUGUCAGCCCUGCUGCUGGCCGUGAUCUACCUCAACAUCCAGGUGGUGCGGGGCCAGCGCAAGGUCAUCUGCCUGCUCAAGGAGCAGAUCAGCAAUGAGGGUGAGGACAAAAUCUUCUUAAUCAACAAGCUUCACUCCAUCUACGAGAGGAAGGAGAGGGAGGAGAGGAGCAGGGUUGGGACAACCGAGGAGGCUGCGGCACCCCCUGCCCUGCUCACAGAUGAACAGGAUGCCUAGGGGGACGGCGAUGGGCCUCACGGGCCCGCCCAGCACCCUGAGACCACACUGUUGCCUCCCAGUGACCCUGCU
rnacentral:sRNA from 1 species